GUCGAUGUCGUAUAGUGGUCUAGUACACUUCGUUGUGGCCGAAGAAACGGCUGUUCGAUUCAGCCCAUCGACA